rnacentral:lncRNA from 1 species
GUGGCCGGACGGCGGCAGUCGACGGCUGGGAAGUCCGGCGGGAAGAGAGAGCUCGGGGAGAGGAAAAGAAAGAGGGAAGAAGAGAAAGGGAGGAAAAAAAAAUGGGUUGGGCCUCCACCGGUCCAACCUAUAUCAACCCAAUUCGAAAAAAAAAAGAAAAAUGAAACACCCCGAAAAAUAAUACCCGAGUAAAAAUUACCUUUUACUAGCUAAAAUUUACCAUUUUUACCGUCGUCGUAUUUUCCUUAUACGAAUAAUCCUCCGCACAUAAUCGUCCCCGAAACCCCUCUAGGGACCAAUUAAACUAUUUACUCAAUGACGGAGACGGUAAAAUUCUUAUUAUAAUCAGGCUAGUAAAUAAGGUAAAAAUAUAAGGGUCGGGAUGUGACAUUACUAGUGUAACUCAUGCUCUUCUUUUAUUUGUUCCAUAAAGGAUGCAAAAAUAUUAUGGCUUCGUAAAAUUAUUAUUUAGUUUCGUUUUGUUCAAUCAAACGAGCGAUUAACGUACAUAUGUUUUAUCCAAACGGUAUCAUGAAGUUUAUAUAACAACUCACAUGAUAAGAUGAGCGUAUAUAAUUGACAUUCAUGCAACAACUCGAAAGAAGUUGUCGUAAUUAAUUCAUGUUAUUUUCCUAUUAUAAUUAAAUAGAUAUUUAUUUAUUUAAUAUUGUAUUCAUGAGUUACCUUAUUGUACAUGGAUGUGUUAGUAUAUAUUCUUUUCUCUUGGAGAAGAAUGAAACCAUCACAAAAUUCAAGACCAUUGGUUUUCUCAUUUAAUUGUGAUGGCCAAAGUUCUGCAAUUGCUCAGCUUACUUAACAUCCUUAUUCUUGUUGGUUCAGGUAAUCUCUUUACACAUUAUUUCAAAUGUUUGAGUAUAUUCGUAUCAUACCCGUGUUAUAUAUUAUGUUUUAUGAUUGCUCUUUAGCAUGUCAAAUUCUAGAGAAAUAAUCUAAAACAUUUUUUUUUUUUUUU